rnacentral:rRNA from 1 species
AUUGGACUACCAUGGCAGUCACGGGUAACGGAGAAUUAGGUUCGAUUCCGGAGAGGGAGCCUGAGAAACGGCUACCACAUCUACGGAAGGCAGCAGGCGCGUAAAUUACCCAAUCCUGAUUCAGGGAGGUAGUGACAAGAAAUAACAACUCGGGGGCCUCACGGCUUACGAGAUUGCAAUGAGAACAAUUUAAAUCUCUUAGCGAGGAACAAUUGGAGGGCAAGUCUGGUGCCAGCAGCCGCGGUAAUUCCAGCUCCAAUAGCGUAUAUUAAAGUUGUUGCAGUUAAAAAGCUCGUAGUUGAAUUUCUGAUUAUGGAUGUAGCGGUUUCCGUUACAUUUGUAGUCAUCCACAUGAGAACCUUUCUCGGCCUUCACUGGUCGGUUGGGGGAUCAUGUACUUUACUUUGAAAAAAUCAGAGUGUUUCAGGCAGGCGUUUGCAUGAAUACACAAGCAUGGAAUAAUGGAAUAGGACUAGGGUCCAUUUUUAUUGGUUAUUGGACCAUAGUAAUGAUUAAUAGGGACAGUUGGGGGGC